rnacentral:lncRNA from 1 species
UCUAAUUGGUACAUGACUCACAACAUGAAAAAUGAGUUAGUAAAAAGCGUUGGAAAAAACCGAAAAGACCAACAGAUUAUAUCGAUCAAAUAUAAUCAGAAGUACUUUAUUAUUAUGGAUAAUUAUGUUUGGACAUUAACAUGAAGUUCUCACAAUCAAAUGACACAAUUGAACAAGCAACACAACAAUGCAGUAAAGCAAACAUAGAUCAAAAAGUUAUACAAUAUUAUUUCCUCCAUCACUUGAGCAAGCUAACUUUUCCUAGACCAUGGCAUUCUUCUUCUUGUUGAUGAUCUCCUGAAUGAUAGGUAUGAGAACCUCCCUCCUCAUUGGUUUGGGCACGAAAGCAUCAGCACCAGCAUUCAUGAACGCCUCCAUUGCAUGGUCAUCGGCAGAAACCCCAACAAUCUUCACAUCACCUUCCCCCAUAGCACGGAUCUUCACAACUGCCUGUCGUGCAAUACAGAAAUUAUAUUGUCUUUUUCAUACAUAAAGGGUUUAAUACAUGCCGAAGAGUUGCAUAUAUAAUGAUAUAGAACUAAGUACCUCGGGACCAGUCAUGAUGGGCAUGUCCUUAUCUAACAAAACAAUGUCAAACUUCUUCCCCUCAAGGAACAAUUCAACAGCUUCCUUCCCAUUCACGGCUAGAGUAACCUCACAGUUCAUUGCGAGCAAUAUAGUUGAGAGGACCAGCCUACAAACUUCAAUGUCCUCAACAAGUAGUGCCUUGAUAGAGGUGGAWUUUUUUGGCCUUGAGCUCCAUGAUCACCUAAACAAAUUACAAACACGACUGAAUAUAUUUUAUUAUUCAUCCACGCAUGCCAAAUUUGUACUUGGAAGCACAUUCUUAUUCUAAAAAAGAAUCCACUAAAAAUCUUAAUAUAUUACCAAAAUCAUAGUUUGACUAAUUUACGACAUGAUCAAACAUGAUGAACCUAUAAAAACAAUGUACAUGUCAACAAUUAUAUGUAAAUGCAUAUAUAUAUGUGCAAACAACAACAACUGAAAUUUUGAUACGCGGAUCAAAUUAAAAUGGAUACUUCCACCCUAGAGUAGUAUAAAUCCAUCUCUAACAAUCUCAUGUAUGUAAAGUGUGGACAUGAAAACCACCAGAAGACUGAUAAUAAAAUAAGGUAGCAAUACAAAUAGUGGAACAUGUACCUCAAGGUGAGAGCGAGAUGGACCUGGAGGAGAUUGGGGAUCUUCCUACUCUUCCUACUUGAAAGUUUGGAGGUUGAGUGCUGGUACCCCUUGUAUGAUCAUGUAUUUAUAGAUGGAAAAAGAUAUGUGCAUCAAAUGGACAAUCCAUCUCCACCGCCUCCACACACAAAGAAAAUCGGCGCCGCUCCUUUAGUAUAAACGGGGAAAUCAGUAUUGGUCGCCAAUAUUUUGUUAUUAAUGAGCCAUAUCCCCACAUACAUAUUCUUGUGUGAUUCUUAUACGCAAUAUAAUGCUUCAUGUAUAAUGUUUUGUAUUAAAUUAUAGCUCCUCAAAUUAUUAGAAGUUGUGUGAAUUCUAGAUCCCAGUUUUUCUAUAGUUCAUAUAUUAAUUUCAGAAAGACAUUACAACCCGUAAAUUCACAACACACACACUCACACCUACGAAGGCAUUCACAUAUAUACAUACCACUAGAAGCACCUACGUAAUAUUGAGUCAAGAGAUCUUGAGAUUGAAACUAUCACCACAGGCACUUAGUUGUAAAAGGCAACAUUAUAGCACUGAUAGAGUAGCAUCUUUAAGACUCAUGUAAAUAUAAAAAAUAUAUGAGCACCCAUGAGAAGUCUAGACCUUGAACCUAGGUACACUACUAGGAGAAAGCCUACCAGUAGCGCUGGUUUUCCACUUACCAGUAGUAUUGGGGACACCGCUACUGCUAACGUGCUACAACUAACCUGUUACAGUACCGCUUGAUUUAAAGCGUUAUUGGUAUCUACAUUAGCAGUAGCGCCGGAAUAAAUAGAGCACUACUGCUAAGCUACCGCUACUGCUAAUAUUCCGGCGCUACAACUAAUAUUCCUAGUUUCAAUAUUUAAUUCCCGUCAUAUUUAUGCCCCCUCUAUGUAUUUGUGCAAGCUCUAAACAGUAGUUUCAUCGUAUCAUAAUAAACAUGCAUUAUUCUCGUCAUAUCAUACACAUAAAGUAGUCUCGUCAUUUAUACCAUCAUCAUCAUUAUGCAACACAUAUAUCGUUAUCCAACACAAAUAUCAUCAAAAUCUCAAAAAUAGCAAUACACACAAGUCAUGGCACACCCGACCAGUUUCAUCAUCACUAUCUAAACCAUCAUGUAGAAGAGAAGAGCGAUCAGCAUGAGCAAGAGCGCGAUUAUGCAGUACUUCUUGAGGCACCGGUUUCGCUCCAUCUCUUACCGUAGCAUCCACCUCAAGUAACUCAUUUUCACUUUGGCUCUGCUGUCGAAACCUCUAUGGCUAGCGCCCGGGUACCUGUCCACCUCGGCCUGAGCGUUUGGCCAGUGGUCGUACACUCCUCGAAUCCUCCCAAUGAAUACGGUGUAGCAGCCCUUCUCCAUCUCUGAUCUAUGGACCUGCAUUAUAAGUUGAUAAACAAUGAUAUAUAAUAUGCAACAUGAUGUACUUGAGAAACACGUAGAGGCAUAGUUAGCAGAAUACAAGCAGUAAACAUAAAUAACGAAGUUCCUCAUACACAAACUAAUUUUAUAGACCAAUGUAUACGCUAGUUUAUAGAAAGCCGGUAGUACUAAUUAUAAACACACAUUGUCAUCGUCAAUCACUCCUCCAUGUCGGCGCCCCAAUCUUCAUAGUCAGGGAUGAAUGACCCGAGCGGGUUGAAAGCCUUUAGGUCCAGACGCUGAGCGCGUAGAAGUUCUAGGACAUUCUCCGCCUCAUUGGCCCAUGGAAGAACAACCCUCCUUGUUCGACGACCUGCUUCAUGAUCACUUGGCAAGUUCAAACUGUAUCUGAUAAAACUCAGCUCGGAUUUGAUGAUCCGGUGUCAUUUCUAUGCUUGUGGCCCAGUUGGCAAUCUUGGCAUCGCCGGAAUUAGCUGACAUGCAAAGACGUUGAUUUUCCCUUUUGUAUUCGAUCAUGUGAUGCAUGAGGUAGAACCAUCAGCCUUACUAGUGUUCAGUUGCUGGAUGUACCAGAAGCUGGUUUUAUGGCCGAAAGCCGGCCCUUGAUUCCUGUACUUUUCACCUUGAUAUAUCCACUAGUCUGGUUAAAGGUUAUCAAGGCACUAUCGAGAACACUCUUUAUGUCCGUGUAAUCCUUUUCCUCGAUGUUCUUCGAUACGUCCAAGUACAGAGCAUGGGAGUAUUGUUGGUACAAAACAGAUGAGGAUGCCCCCGUCACUACGCAAAAUAGGAACACCUCGGACUCAUCGAAUUAGCCUCAAUGCUUGCAAAGGAAUGAUCAAAACUUACGAAAGGAUAUGUGUGCAUGACUUACAUGGGAUGAUAAGGCAGGAGAAUCAUUUCCUAGUCCUUAUUAGCGGUCAUGAAAUCACUAAUGUACUUGCUCGCAUAGUCACGGUGCUCUUUGCACACUGCCAAGAAGCCCUCAUGCAUAUAGUUCGGGUCCACGAGGCAGAUAUAUUCUAUGUUCUCGCGCCUGAUGACAUACUUGAGAUACAUCGCAUACAGGCAGAUGAACCGAAAAUCCAGCUUGGAAAUGUCGAACAUGUCGUAGAUGUAGUCAAAUCACAGCAUGAACUUAUCUGCGGCCCAUCUAUCGACGUAUGACAUCGCACCCAGAACCUGAGUCGGGUAAAACGGAUAGUAUCCUCGUUUAUCCGUGUUGAGAAGUCUUCUCUCCAUGGCCAACACAUCAUCAUGAAGUCUCAGAUCAUUGUUAUAUAUGUUCACUAGCUCUUUCUGAGGUAGGAUCGGGUUGCCGGCGACAUGGAAUUGAUCCGCACCUACGACAGGAAUUUUGUCUACCUCCAGAGGCUUUAGAGGCGGUUGGCUGCUUGAAGCAGCUCUAGCGCCUUUAGAUCCUUUCUUCUCUAGUCUCCUCCUUUGCUUCUUGGUGGGUGGCGGUAGUGAGCCUGCCAUACCUUCCCUAAUCACCAUCCCGGCGUCGUCGGGCUAAUUACCAGCAGACGGCCCCUGUGUUGAUCUUUCUAGGUAGAGGCAGCAUCUGGAGGUGUCUCCUGCGAGGAUCGCAUGAAGAGAAACUUUUUGCAAUCACCCAUAGGACAUUGCUAUUCCGGCAAUUCAGGCAUCAUCUAGUCAUGUCCAUGCUCAUAGCCUGAGUCAUGCUCCCGAGCAUCGUCAUAGCCGGUAUUGAUAUAUUUGUUAGGGUCAUCACCAUCCUCCUUCAUGACAUCAUUUGCAUUUUCUUCUUCGACGGGGGCGAUGUCAGCUGGCACUAAUGGAUCCUCUCCCUUGCCGUGUCGACCGCUAUCACCCGUCGCGAUAGGUGCAGGUAAUUGGGUAGGUGGAGUGGUGUUCAUACCUUAUUGCGAAGUUGUCAUUAGUGUGCUACCGGGCGCAUCAACACGAAUGUGAGUCUUCGGCCAAGGCAAGAUCCAACUCUUGAAUGCGCCAAUCUAUUUAGGGGUCUCGUCGUCAUCGAUUGCUUUCAGAAGAGGCAAAUCCAUGAAGCCUGCUUUCACACUGGCUACGCAAACGUUGGAGACGCCAUGGGGCAUCUGUCGGUUGUGGAGCAUGCGGUCCUUCAGCUUCAUGAUCGUUACCUUUCCCAUGUCCACCUUCCGGCUGUUGACAUCAUACAAUAGGGUGCACGGGGUUUCGUCGGCCUGUGAAGACAUGACUACGACGUCACACAUCCGAAAGGCAACUGAAAUGAAAGACUAAAUAGACAUGCUGGUGAAGACUGUUUGACGCAUAAUUACUUUGAAGGUGUCGAGCUCAGCCAAAGACGAAGCCCCGCCGAGCAUGCCAGAGACGGAGGAUGGGCUGCUAUGAACCGGAGCGAGAUCAGGUAUAGGAGCAUAUGCGGUUGCGUGAGCUCAUGCUGGUUGUGUGAUGUUCACCGAAUUUCUCCCGACAAAGUUGAGAAGGGGAAAGUCCUCUGGCCCUUUUUCUGGAUUCCUCCUCACAAACUCGAAAAUUUUCGGAACCAAUUAGCCCAAGGAAGCUGCCACAGCUGCAUUGCCCUUAUCGUCGAUUACCUUGGCCAUCUCUUCUUUGUUCUCAAGUUUGCUCUUAUCGGCCGCUUGCGCGACCUUCUCAUCGAUGGUGUGUUGAGAAAAUUGUCGUCUCUGCUUUUUUCCUCCGGCUUCUCAUGGUAGCACUUCAUCCACGAGGCGCCAUCUCCGACGUCGUGCACACGUCGAUAAGACAGAGGUUUAUCCACCGAGACAUUUUUAAGUAUGUUCAGGGCCCGGUUGAACGGGUUGCCCACUUGGGCCUCGCCAACGACUGAGACACUCGUCGCUUUCGUAUGCCUUUUGGCGUUGCUCUUUCUGCAAAAGGAACGUGGACGGUUUAUAAAUGUGAGAAACCUUGUUGUCGAAUUGAUUUGAAGCUAAUUAAGAUAAGGUGGUAAUAGAACAAUUACGAGCAGUGUCAUGAACUCCCUCAUGUUCGGGUCCGGGGAAAAGACCUUAUUGACAGGGUCCCACUCGUGCAGGUCCCAGAUCUAGUCAUGCUCCUGCGUGUCGGUGAACUCCGCCAAGGGGUCUGGGAUUCCGUGACUUUCACGUUCGGCGUCCUCCUUGGCCCAUACAGGUCUCUUCCCCUCGUAACCACAACUUUCGAGGUGGUGGGAAGGCGUGUUCCUAGUCUAUAGCUCCUUCAUUUUCUUCGACGUUUUCUGCACUUCUUCUGUAGCGCAAGUCUCCAUGAAUUUUUCGAAGUCCUCUUCUAUUAGUGACGGAUUGUCGGCAUGAAUCUUGGACCACGGUUCAUUGUUCAGAAUCUAUUUUUUACAAUUACUUUCUAGGCGGUCAAGGCGUUGGUGAACAACAUCAUUGCCUUGUUGUUUAUCUUUGUCAUGGUUCGUCAUCCCAUGGAAGUUUUUUGGUCCGUCCGGGGAACAAGAACCUAUUGUGCAACUUCGUUAGGAGCAUGUGCUCCAUAUGUGGUAUCUUCUUUAACUUCUCAUUGUUGAUGUUGGCAGCUUCCCUAAGGAUGCAUCCUACUUGAUUGCCAUAGCACUUGCGCUUACUCUUGCGCCAUUGGCACUAAUUUCGUGGGGUGCAUCACCAUGAGCACAAUUUUCCCGGUGCCGAGCGCGUUUGGUUUUAUUGCCCUCUUUGGAUUCGGUCCUUCACCGGGUACGUCAACAUCAUCACCGGUCUUGGUGCCGGUGCCACCAUCGCUAUCGGUGGCAGUGUCGGUGUCGGAGUUGGUCUCAUUGCCACCCUGCAUCCGCAUGUCCCGUUGGUCCAGGUAAUCGAAAAAAUUAUUUGCGUCCUCAAAAUGGUUUUCUUCAUGGCACCAGAACCCCCGGCUUUGUCGUGGCUAGACGUAUUAAUUUCCUACGAGUAUUUAAGUAUAAUAGUUUAAUUCUAGGCCAAAUAACAUGAAUAAUAAAAGGGGGACCAUAUUUGGUCGGAAUGUUGAUUCAUUCCCCUUUUCGGCAAUUCCCGGGCUCUCCAUAUGUCCUAGUUUCUAGCACAAGUCAUGCUGAAAUUCACGGAAAUUUUCGGCACUUUGCUAAAAAGUGGACGUAUGGAGCGCCUGAAAUUUGCCGGAACGGAAAUGAAUCACCAUUCCAGUAAAACAUAGGCCAGUCGGACAUUCUGGCAAAACUUAUAAGCUGCUGAGAGUGUUGGAUCUAAAAGAUUGCAAAACAAUAUUGCUAAAUGGAGGAUCUUAGUGACCUGAAAUUGUACUAUUGUAGCCUACAACUAAAUAUCGACUUUAGUAAGAUAACAUCGCGCAACAUGUCAAUUAACAAUCUAAUAUAUCAUAACCUAAUAAAAAAUACUAGCAAGAGCGAUACCAAACUCUACUUAGUUCAACACUCUCUUAGGCCUAUUUGAUUCAAAUGCAAACGACAUUUGUUGUUGCAUAUCCAUCCCUCGAUUCUUCACUACUGUUUUCACACAAUUUAUUUCAAUGUUGUUAACACCCCUCCCUCCCAUGAAACUUGGGUGCUACGAAAUGUUAAAUAUAUCAAAGCGCUCAUGAUGUACUUACCCCCUUAUUUUGGCUAUAUUUAUCAAAAUUGCUUUGCCACAGAAUAAGCUCCACAUUAAAUAAUCACCAGAACAAUUGAAAAAUAGAUGAUCUACAGAUUCAUCCUUGCCACAGAAUAAACAUCUUUUUUACACCCCACCCCCAAGCCCUCUUGGCAAGAGAAUCUCUAGUAAGGAUUGAUCUACUAUUAGGCAGCUACAUAAACAAAAACAUUGAGUAAGAAUCUACUAGUAAGAAUUCUGAGUAAUCAGCUCCCUGUAGAAAGAUUAUUACGUGAAUUACAUAUCAGUACUUUGUUGGGGAACGUUGCAUGGGAAAAAAAAUUCCUACGCACACGCAAUACCUAUCCAUGGUGAUGAUCAUCUACGAGAGGGUAGAGUGAAUUGACUAACCCUUGUAUAUCGCUAAGCGGAAGCGUAUAUCACGCGGUUGAUGUAGUGGAACAUCUUCACGAUCCAAAUCGCUACCCGUCCGGCGAUCUCAUCACGAUCCGUCCCGCAAUCUCAUCACGAUCCAUCUCGCGAUCCCAUCACUAUCCUUCCCGAUCUAGUGCCAAACGGACGGCACCUCCGUGUUCAGCACAUGGACAGCUCAANUGGGCCUUAGUGAGAACUUAUUCCAGCCCACUAGGGGAUGGUUUAUCUCUUCCCAUAGACCAUGAGGCCCCUUSGGGGCGUAACACCCCUCCCGAUGGUCCCCAACACCCCUCCCGGCACUCCCGGUACACUACCGAUGAGCCUGAAACCUUUCCGGUGACCAAAAACAGGACUUCCUAUAUAUCAAUCUUUACCUCGAUACCAUUCUGGAGCUCCUCAUGACGUCUGGGAUCUCAUCCGAGACUCCGAACAACCUUCGGUUACUAACACCUAUAACUCAACUAUACCGAAACGUCACCGAACCUUAAGUGUGCAGACCCUGCGGGUUCGAGCACUAUGCAGACAUGACCUGAGACACUCUUCGGGAAAUAACCAAUAGCGGGACCUGGAUGUCCAUAUUGGCUCCCACAUAUUCUACGAAGAUCUCUAUCGUUUGAACCUCUAUGUCAAGGAUUCAGUUAAUCCCGUAUAUUGUUCCCUUUGUCCUUCGGUAUGUUACUUGCCCGAGAUUCGAUCGUCGGUAUCUCCAUAUCUAGUUCAAUCUCGUUAUCGGCAAGUCUCUUUACUCGUUCCGUAAUACAAGAUCCCAUAACUAACUCCUUAGUCACAUUGCUUGCAAGGCUUGUUGUGAUGUUGUACUACCGAGUGGGUCCCAAGAUAGCUCUCCGUCACACGGGGUGACAAAUCCUAGUCUUGAUCCAUACCAACCCAACAGACACCUUUGGAGAUAUCUCUAGAGCACCUUUAUAGUCGCACAGUUACGUUGCAACGUUUGAUAACCCACAAGGUAUUCCUCCGGUGUCCGGGAGUUGCAUGAUCUCAUGGUCAUAGGAAAAAUUACAUUGACAUGGAGAAAACAGUAGCAAUAAACUAACACGAUCACAUGCUACGUUCAUAGUUUUUGGGUCUUAUCCAUCACAUCAUUCUCCAAAUGAUGUGAUUCCAUUAUCAAGUGACAACACUUGUCUAUGGUCAGGAAACCUUGACCAUCUUUGAUCAACGAGCUAGUCAACCAGAGGCUCACUAGGUACAGUGUGUUGUCUAUGUAUCCACACAAGUAUUUGAGUUUCCAAUCAAUACAAUUCCAACAUGCAUAAUAAACGAUGAUCAUAAAUAAAGAAAUAUAAUAAUAACCAAUUUAUUAUUGCCUCUAGGGCAUAUUUCCAACAAUCUCCCACUUGCACUAGAGUCAAUAAUCUAUUUCACAUCACUAUGUGAUUCCAAUGAACCUAACACCCAUACAGUUAUGGGGUUUUGAUCAUAUCUUGCUUGUGAGAGAGGUUUUUAGUCAAUGGGUCUGAACCUUUCAGAUCCGUGUGUGCUUUACAAAUCUCUAUGUCAUCCUAUGGAUGCUACUACCACGCACCAUUUGGAACUAUUCCAAAUGACUGCUCCACUAUACAAACCCGGUUUACUACUCAUAGUUAUUCAGAUUAGUGUCAAAGCUUCCAUCGAUGUAACUCUUUACGACGAACUCUUUAAUCACCUCCAUAAUUCACAAAAAUUCCUUAGUCCACCAGUUACUAAGGAUAGCUUUUGACCGAUGUCUAGUAAUCCAUUCCUGGAUCACUUUUGUACCCCUUGACAAAUUCAUGGCAAAGCACACAUCAGGUGCGGUACACAGUAUAUCAUACUAUAGAGCCUACGGCUAAGGCAUAGGGGACGACUUUCGUCCUUUCUCUUUCUUCUGUCGUGGUCGGGCUUUGAGUCUUACUCAAAUUCACACCAUACAACACAGCCAAGAACUCUUUCUUUGCUGAUUUUUUUGGAACUCCUUCGAAAACUUGUCAAGGCAUGCAUCUCAUUGAAAGUUCUAUUUAGCGAUUUGAUCUAUCUCUAUAGAUCUUGAUGUUUAAUGUUCAAGUAGCUCUAUCCAGGUUUUCCUUUGAAAAAACUCCUUUAAAACAACCCUUUAUGCUUUCGAGAAAAUUUACAUUACUUCCGAUCAACAAUAUGUCAACCACAUAUACUUAUCAGAAAUUCUAUAGUGUUCCCACUCACUUCUUUGGAAAUACAAGUUUCUCAUAAACCUUAGUAUAAACCCUAAAAGACUUUGAUCAUCUCAUCAAAGCGUAUAUUCCAACUCCGAGAUGCUUGCACCAGUCCAUAGAAGGAUCGCUGAAGCAUGCAUACCUGUUAGCAUCCUUAGGAUCGACAAAACCUUCUGGUUGUAUCACAUACAACCUUUCCUCAAGGAAACCGUCGAGGAAACAAUGUUUUGACAUCCUAUGUGCAAUAUUUCAUAAAUAAUGCAACAACUGCUAACAUAAUUCCAACAGACUUUCAACAUUGCUACGAGUGAGAAAGUCUCAUCAUAGUCAACUCUUUCAACUUGUCGGAAACAUCUUUACGACAAGUCGAUCUUAAUGAUGACUUUUCACCAUCAUCGUCUGUCUUCCUUUUAAAGAUCCAUCUGUACUUAACAGUCUUAUGACCAUCAAGUAGUUCUUCCAAAUUCUACACCUUGUUUUAUUACAUGGAUCCUCUCUCAAAUUUCAUGGCCUCUAGCCAUUUGUCAGAAUCCAGGCCCACCAUCACCUCUCCAUAGCUCGUAGGUUCAUUGUUGUCCAACAACAUGACCUCCAAGACAAGGUUACCGUACCACUCUGUGGCAGUACGCGACCUUGUCGACCUAUGAGGUUUGCAGUAACUUGAUCCAAAGUUUCAUGAUCACUAUCAUUAGCUUCCACUUCAACUGUUGUAGGCGCCAGAGGAACAACUUCCUGCGCCUUGUUACACACUGGUUGAAGUGACGGUUCAAUAACCUCAUCAAGUUCCACCACCCUCCCACUCAAUUCUUUCGAGAGAAACUUUUCCUUGAGAAUGGACCCGUUUCUAGAAACAAACACUUUGCUUCAGGAUCUGAGAUAUGAGGUAUACCCAACUGUUUUGGGUCUCCUAUGAAGAUUCAUUUAUSCGCUUUGGGUUCGAGCUUAUCAUGCUGAAACUUUUCCACAUAAGCGUCGCAGCCCCAAACUUUUAAGUAAACGAGAGCUUACGUUUCUCCAAACCAUAGUUCAUACAGUGUCAUCUCAACGGAAAUACGYGGUGCCCUAUUUAAAGUGAAUGUGGUUGUCUCUAAUGCAUAACCCAUAAACGAUAGUGGUAAUUCGAUAAGAGACAUCAUACUAUGCACCAUAUCAUAUAGGGUGCGGCUAUGACAUUCGGACACACCAUCACACUAUGGUGUUCUAGGUGGCAUGAAUUGCGAAACAAUUUGUACAUUGUCUUAAAUGUGUACGAAACUCGGAACUCAGAUAUUCAUCUCUAUGAUCAUAUCGUAGACAUUUUAUCCUCUUAUCAUGACAAUCUUCACUCUGAAAUAGCUUUGAACUUUUCAAUAUUUCAGACUUGUGAUUCAUCAAGUAAAUACUCAUGUAUAUACUCAAAUUGUUAGUGAAGUAAGAACAUAAUGAUAUCCACUGCGUGCCUCAGCACUCAUUGGACUGCACACAUAAAAAACUGUAUUACUUCCGACAAGUUACUUUCUUGUUUCAUCUCACUGGAAAAUGAGACCUUCAGUCAUCUUGCCCAUGUGGUAUGAUUUGCAUGGCUCAAGUGAUUCAAAAUCAAGUGAGUCCAAAUGAUCCAUCUGCAUGGAGUUUCUUCAUGCGUUUAACCAAUUGGUAUUGUUUGCAUGUCUCAAACAUUUCAAAAAUGGGUGAGUACAAAGAUCCAUCAGCAUGGAGCUUCUUCAUGCAUUUUAUACCAACAUGACUCAAGCGGCAGUGCCACAAGUGUUACUAUCAUUACUACUUUGUAUCUUUUGGCAUCAAUAUUAUGAACAUGUGUAGCACUACGAUCGAGAUUCAAUAAAACAUUGAAGGUAUUUAUUCAAGCAAAUAGAAUAACUAUUAUUCUCUUUAAAUGAAUAAUCGUAUUGCAAUAAACACGAUCUAAUCAUGUUCAUGCUCAACGCAAACACCAAAUAACAAUUAUUGAGGUUUAACACUAAUCCCGAUGGUAGAGGGAGCGUGCGAUGUUUGAUCACAUCAACCUUAGAAUUAUUUCCAACACACAUCGUCACCUCACCCUUGCUAGUAUCCAUUUAAUCUGUAGCUAUAAUUUCGAGUUACUAACACUUAGCAACUGAACCGGUAUCUAAUACCCUGGUGCUACUAGGAGUACUACUAAGGUGCACAUCAAUAUCAGGUAUAUCCAAUAUACUUUUUUCGACUUUGCCAGCCUUCUCAUCUACCAAGUAUAUAGGGUAGUUCCGCCUCAGUGACUGUUCCCCUCAUAACAGAAGCACUUAGUCUCGGGUUUGGGUUCAACCUUGGGUUUCUUCACUAGAGCAGCAACUGAUUUUUCGUUUCAUGAAGUACUCCUUCUUGCCCUUGCCCUUCUUGAAACUAGUGGUUUUACUGACCAUCAACAAUUGAUGCUCCAACUUGAUUUCUACUUUCGCAUAUGUAUCCUUGAUAUGUUAUAGUUCAUCACGAAGCUCUAGUAGCUUGGUGGCAGUGACUUUGAAGAACCAUCACUAUCUCAUCUAGAAGAUAAACUCCCACUCUAUUCAAGCGAUUGUAGCUGUCGGGACCCCGAUCCUAGGACAUAGGAAUCCAGCCUGUAACACAUCGCAUCUCUUUGCGGUCUCACGCACGGUUAACUCCACGGCUGCAGCCUUACCUUAGCCGGGACCGUUUGCGUCUUUUGACUCACGUAUGCAAUAGUGUCACUAGCAUUCCAAUGUCAAAGAACCCGGAUCGACAAGUCUAGUCACAAACCAAAGUGGCAGUACCGCACAAGGACAGGCAUACAUGACCCAACAAAGCAGGUGUCGGUCACCAGCGAGUGUAGACGAGUCGUAGCAAGCUACAAGGACUCCAUUACAUCACGUGACAUUUGCCCAAAGGGGACAGACACAUCAGCUAAGAAGGACACAUGCCGGUCAACCAAAGUGUCCGGAGCAGUAGCGAACUACCAAGGCUCGUUGGAUCAGAAAGGGGAAUUUCCUUGUAAGGAGUGCUACUAAAGUUCACGACUAGGUAAUCGAACCCCAUAUAUAUCAAGUACGACACACGUACGCAUGGCAUACCGAUAUGUAUAGAUACAUCGAUGGCAUCACAACAUAACCAUAAACAUACAAACUUUAUUNNNNNNNNNNNNNNNNNNNNNNNNNNNNNNNNNNNNNNNNNNNNNNNNNNNNNNNNNNNNNNNNNNNNNNNNNNNNNNNNNNNNNNNNNNNNNNNNNNNNUGCCUUGCCUCAAGCCUGUUAAGAGGUACAGAGAGUGAUCCAGGAUUAAAUCACUAAACAACGGGUAAACUUAUCCUUAGUAAUUAAUGGACUAAGGAAUUUUUCUUGAUUAUGGAGGUGCUUAAAAGAGUUCAUCGUAAAGGGUUACGUCGAUGCAAGCUUUGACACUAAUCCGAAUAACUAUGAGUAGUGAAACGGAUUCGUAUAGUAGGGUAGAUAUUUGGAGUAUUUCCGAAUAGCACGUAGUAGCACCGUCUAUAAGAUGACAUAAAGAUUUGCAAAGAACACACGGAUCUGAAAGCUUUCAGAACCGUUGACUAAAAUCUCUCUCUCGAGCAAGACGUGAUAAGACCCCAGAACUAUAUGGGUGUUAGAUUCGUUAGAAUCACAUGGUGAUGUGAACUAGAUUAUUGACUCUAGUGGAAGUCGGAGACUGUUGGAAAUAUGCCCUAGAGGCAAUAAUAAAUUAGAUAUUAUUAUAUUUAUUUGUUCAAGAUAAUAAUUUAUUAUCCAUGCUAUAAUUGUAUCGAUUGGAAACACAAUACUUGUGUGGAUACGUAGACAAAACACUGUCCCUACUAAGCCUCUAGUUGACUAGCUCGUUGAUCAAAGAUGAUCAAGGUUUCGUGACCAUAGGCAAGUGUUGUCACUUGAUAACGGGAUCACAUCAUUAGGAGAAUCAUGUGAUGGACUAGACCCAAACUAAUAGACGUAGCAUGUUGAUCGUGUCAUUUUCUUGCUACAGUUUUCUGCGUGUCAAGUAUUUAUUCCUAUGACCAUGAGAUCAUAUAACUCACUGACACCGGAGGAAUGCUUUGUGUGUAUCAAACGUCACAACAUAACUAGGUGACUAUAAAGAUGCUCUAUAGGUAUCUCCGAAGGUGUCCGUUGAGUUAGCAUGGAUCAAGACUGGGAUUUGUCACUCCGUGUGACGGAGAGGUAUCUCGGCGUCCACUCGGUAAUACAACAUCACACACAAGCCUUGCAAGCAAUGUGACUUAGUGUAAGUCAUGGGAUCUUGUAUUACGGAACGAGUAAAGAGACUUGCCGGUAAACGAGAUUGAAAUAGGUAUGCGGAUACUGACGAUCGAAUCUCGGGCAAGUAACAUACCGAAGGACAAAGGGAAUGACAUACGGGAUUAUAUGAAUCCUUGGCAUUGAGGUUCAAAUGAUAAGAUCUUCGUAGAAUAUUUAGGAUCCAAUAUGGGCAUCCAGGUCCCGCUAUUGGAUAUUGACCGAGGAGUCCCUCGGGUCAUGUCUACAUAGUUAUCGAACCCGCAGGGUCUGCACACUUAAGGUUCGACAUUGUUUUAUGCGUAUUUGAGUUAUAUGGUAGGUUACCGAAUGUUGUUCGGAGUCCCGGAUGAGAUCACGGAUGUCACGAGGGUUUCCGGAAUGGUCGGGAGACGAAGAUUGAUAUAUAGGAUGACCUCAUUUGAUUACCGGAAGGUUUUCGGAGUUACCGGGAAUGUAUCGGGAAUGACGAAUGGGUUCCGGAUGUUCACCGGGGGGGCUGCCCACCCCGGGGAAGCCCAUAGGCCUUAGGGGUGCCGCACCAGCCCUUAGUGGGUGGGUGGGUAAGCCCAAAGAGGCCCCUGCGCAGGAAUAAAAGAAAUGAAAGAGAAAAGAAAAAAAAGGGGAAGUGAGAAGGAAGGGAAGGACUCCACCAUCCAAUCCUAGUUGGACUAGGAUUGGAAGGAGGACUCCUCCUACCCCCUUCGUCUGAACCCCUUUGGGCUCCUUGAGCCCCAAGGCAAGGCCCCUCCCCUCCCACCUAUAUAUACGGAGGUUUUAGGGCUGAUUUGAGACAACUUUGCCACGGCAGCCCGACCACAUACUUCCACGGUUUUUCCUCUAGAUCGCGUUUCUGCGGAGCUCGGGCGGAGCCCUGCUGAGAUUAGAUCACCACCAACCUCCAGAGUGCCGUCAUGCUGCCGGAUAACUCAUAUACCUCUCCGUCUCUCUUGCUGGAUCAAGAAGGCCAAGAUCAUCGUCGAGUUGUACGUGUGCUGAACGCGGAGGUGCCGUCCGUUCGACACUAGAUCGGAGCGGAUCGUGGGACGGAUCGCGGGACGGUUCGUGGGACGGUUUGCGGGGCGGAUCGAGGGACGUGAGGACAUUCCACUACAUCAACCGCGUUUCUUAACGCUUCUGCUGUGUGAUCUACAAGGGUACAUAGAUCAGAAAUCCCCUCUCGUAGAUGGACAUCACCAUGAUAGGUCUUCGUGCGCGUAGGAAAAUUUGUGUUUCCCAUGCGACGUUACCCAUCACAAGUUGCUUGAAAUUCAUGAUAUCGUUACGUAAGGAGAUGAUCUUAGCCGCCGGAAAAUACUUGGAUAUGUAAGCAUCUUUGCACUUAUCCCAAGAAUUGAUACUAUUUUUAGGCAAAGAAGAAAACCAAGUUUUUWGCGCGAUCUCGCAACGAGAAAGGAAAAAGGCUUCAACUUAAUCACGUCAUUAUCCACAUCUCUUUUCUUUUGCAUAUCCCAAAGCUCAAUGAAGGUAUUGAGAUGCGAUGCGGCAUAUUCACUAGGAAGGCCAGAGAAUUGCUCUUUCAUAACAAGAUUCAGCAAAGCUGCGUUGAUUUCAUGCGAUUCCGCACUAGUGGCGGGAGCAAUCGAAGUACUAAUAGAAUCAUUAUUAUUAGUGCUCGAGAAGUCGCAAAGUUUGGUGUUUUCAGCCGUGAUGACUUCAACAAAAAAACAAGCACACAAGCAAGCAAGAAAACUGGCAAAGGCAAAAGNNNNNNNNNNNNNNNNNNNNNNNNNNNNNNNNNNNNNNNNNNNNNNNNNNNNNNNNNNNNNNNNNNNNNNNNNNNNNNNNNNNNNNNNNNNNNNNNNNNNAUCCAUCCGUUUCACAAGGUUGCACUAUUAGUGCAUCUACGAAUUGCAUCAAGGAUCGAAGACCCAUUAGGAUACAACCCUAGCAUUUAUGGCAUUACCAUGUUUAUUUCCCAACCUUUCUUCUCUUGACACAUUACAUUGUACAAACAUUGCAAUUGUGCUCUAGCCUCGCAAUUCGUCCUCCCUGGGGUCGAUGAUUUAUAGAAUUCAAAUCUUACAAUCUACUACGAGGUUGUUAAAAUAAGUACAAAGGAGCAUUGUUUCAUCUCCUACUUCCAAUGACUGGGAACCACAUUCCAUGCAUCUAAUCAGGUCCAAGAAGAAGAAAGAAGGCUUCGGGAGCUGCAUUGAACGUAAUGAUCAAAAAAAGGAUCGAACCUUGCUUCAAAAAUGGAGAAAUAAAGUGAGGGUAGGGAUAUAUUAUCUCAUCGAGGAGCUUCCUCCUAAAUAGAGGAAGAGUUCCACGAGUGCUAUAAGGCUUGGGGUUGUGUCAAAUAGCUGAAUCGAUAUGGAGUAUUUAUUAUUUCCAUUAGACUUUUGUAGGUAGCGCUAGAGGAGGAAGUAAGCAAAACUGAAGGUGAGGGAGAGUUCACAUAUGCCGUAAUAGUGAUGCACCGAUGGGAAUAUGCGUAAGCGCUUACACAUGGAGGUGAAUAGACAUAGGGAGGACAUUGUGCUCUAUGAAAGAGUAGGAUAGCGCAUGAAACGAUGUAUGGAGGUACGGAGGGAAGGGGAAACAUCCAUGAGGUCUUGGGAGCAUCAUGGAGAAAUGCUGGUAAGGAGGCCAUGACUAGGGAGAAUGGGAUGUGACCACAACAUAAGACAGGCUCGGUUACACUUUGGCUACCAUGCCACUUGCAUGGUCACUGUCGGGGAUAUACCCCGCGGUGUACCCUGGCUUAAAGUAUGACCCGGCUAGGACUUCUAUGCUCACUGGCGACUCAUCAGUGAUCUGGCGGGCGGCUCAUACAUGACCCCGCAGGAAACUGAGACAAACGACAAAGGCCCUACGACCCAGAAGGCAGCUCAUGUGAGGGUCGGCUCACAGAGAAGGCGCAAGGAAAGGAAUGACUCCCUUACAAAGGAAACAAGACCCAGAUUAGGAUUCAAGAGAGACUAGUCCUAAUCCUACUCCUAGUAGGACUCUACAUGUAAACCUACCCUUACACCCUAUAAAGAGUGGUAAGGUGCCCCAAGAGGNNNNNNNNNNNNNNNNNNNNNNNNNNNNNNNNNNNNNNNNNNNNNNNNNNNNNNNNNNNNNNNNNNNNNNNNNNNNNNNNNNNNNNNNNNNNNNNNNNNNGGUGGAUGUCAAUAGUUAUAUAUAAAGUAUUAGUGACAGAUUCACAAUAGGUGUCAGUAAAGGGCUACACCACACUCAACAUUAAGUAAUAAUACAAACUAUAUAACAAUUACAAAAUAUUCAUAGUCUAAUAUUUCUCUCUCUCAAAAUGGUACAUGACUCACAACAUGAAAAAUGAGUUAGUAAAAAGCGUUGGAAAAAAGCGAAAAGAACUACAGAUUAUAUCGAUCAAAUAUAAUCAAAAGUACUUUAUUAUUGUGNNNNNNNNNNNNNNNNNNNNNNNNNNNNNNNNNNNNNNNNNNNNNNNNNNNNNNNNNNNNNNNNNNNNNNNNNNNNNNNNNNNNNNNNNNNNNNNNNNNNNNNNNNNNNNNNNNNNNNNNNNNNNNNNNNNNNNNNNNNNNNNNNNNNNNNNNNNNNNNNNNNNNNNNNNNNNNNNNNNNNNNNNNNNNNNNNNNNNNNNNNNNNNNNNNNNNNNNNNNNNNNNNNNNNNNNNNNNNNNNNNNNNNNNNNNNNNNNNNNNNNNNNNNNNNNNNNNNNNNNNNNNNNNNNNNNNNNNNNNNNNNNNNNNNNNNNNNNNNNNNNNNNNNNNNNNNNNNNNNNNNNCAAACAUAGAUCAAAAAGGUAUACAAUAUUAUUUCCUCCAUCACUUGAGCAAGAUAACUUGUCCUAAACCAUGGCAUUCUUCUUCUUGUUGAUGAUCUCCUGAAUGAUAGGUAUGAGAACCGCCCUCCUCAUUGGUUUGGGAACGAAAGCAUCAGCACCAGCAUUCAUGAAUGCCUCCAUUGCAUGAUCAUCGGCAGAAACCCCAACAAUCUUCACAUCACCUUCCCCCAUAGCACGGAUCUUCACAACUGCCUGUCGUG